AGACUGGCUAAGUCUUCUGGCCUCCAUCUUUCUCCCAUGCUGGAUGCUUCCUGCCCUUGAACAUCAGACUCCAAGUUCUUCAGCUUUUGGACUGUUGGACUUACACCAGUGAUUUGCCAGGGGCUCUUGGGCCUUCAGCCACAGACUGAAGGCUGUACUGUCAGCUUCCCUACUUUUGAGAUUUUGGGACACGUACUGGCUUCCUGGCUCCUCAGCUUGCAGACGGCCUAUCAUGGUACUACACCUUGUGAUCGUGACCGCUGGUAUAGCUUGCCUGGUGGUGGACUUGGAGGAUACCAUUGCAUCAGGGCAUUUCUCCACAUGAUAGCUCCUGCCUGCUGGACAGGUCCUCUCUUGACUAUGUGUAUUCUCCAGAGAAGCAGCAUUUAUAAAAUUGGAUUAAAAUAAACUAGCGAAUUAAAUAUGAAUAUGAAAAUAAACAGCUGUUAUCAUGGAAAUUGCAUUGAUGUGGAUUCUUCUGAAGGCAUGUCCCUAAAGAACCUGCCAACAAAUUCUGUAAAGGCAGAAUGAACAUUCUGGAAAAUUUAUGUCCUUGUAUAGAAGGCUAGAAAAAAAAAAGAAGAAAAAAGAAACUCUCAGCCUGAAGGCCUACGUAAAAC
rnacentral:antisense_RNA from 1 species